rnacentral:tRNA from 1 species
CCGCCAUUAGCUCAUCGGGAUAGAGCGCCAGCCUUCGAAGCUGGUUGCGCGGGGUUCGAGUCCUUGAUGGCGGUCCA